AGUGGGAUAACUGGGUCAAAUGGUCAUUCUAUUCCAAGUUUUCUAAGGAAUCUCCAUACUGCUUUCCAUUGAAGUUGUAUCAAUUUGCAGUUCCACCAGUAAU
rnacentral:pre_miRNA from 1 species